UACGUAGGGUGCGAGCGUUGUCCGGAAUUAUUGGGCGUAAAGGGCUCGUAGGCGGUUUGUCGCGUCGGGAGUGAAAACCCAGGGCUUAACCCUGGGCUGGCUUCCGAUACGGGCAGACUAGAGGUAUGCAGGGGAGAAUGGAAUUCCCGGUGUAGCGGUGAAAUGCGCAGAUAUCGGGAAGAACACCCGUGGCGAAGGCGGUUCUCUGGGACGGUACUGACGCUGAGACGCGAAAGCGUGGGGAGCGAACAGG
rnacentral:rRNA from 1 species